GAUGAAGAACGCAGCGAAAUGCGAUACGUAAUGUGAAUUGCAAAUUCAGUGAAUCAUCGAGUCUUUGAACGCACAUUGUGCCCCCUGGUAUUCCGGGGGGCAUGCCUGUCCGAGCGUCAUUGCUGCCCUCAAGCACGGCUUGUGUGUUGGGCCCCGUCCUCCGAUCCCGGGGGACGGGCCCGAAAGGCAGCGGCGGCACCGCGUCCGGUCCUCGAGCGUAUGGGGCUUUGUCACCCGCUCUGUAGGCCCGGCCGGCGCUUGCCGAUCAACCCAAAUUUUUAUCCAGGUUGACCUCGGAUCAGGUAGGGAUACCCGCUGAACUUAAGCAUAUCAAUAAGCGGAGGA
rnacentral:misc_RNA from 1 species